rnacentral:rRNA from 1 species
GACGAACGCUGGCGGCGUGCUUAACACAUGCAAGUCGAACGGAAAGGCCCUGCUUUUGUGGGGUGCUCGAGUGGCGAACGGGUGAGUAACACGUGAGUAACCUGCCCUUGACUUUGGGAUAACUUCAUGAAACUGGGGCUAAUACCGGAUAGGAGCUCCUGCUGCAUGGUUGGGGUUGGAAAGUUUCGGCGGUUGGGGAUGGACUCGCGGCUUAUCAGCUUGUUGGUGGGGUAGUGGCUUACCAAGGCUUUGACGGGUAGCCGGCCUGAGAGGGUGACCGGCCACAUUGGGACUGAGAUACGGCCCAGACUCCUACGGGAGGCAGCAGUGGGGAAUAUUGCACAAUGGGCGGAAGCCUGAUGCAGCAACGCCGCGUGCGGGAUGACGGCCUUCGGGUUGUAAACCGCUUUCGCCUGUGACGAAGCGUGAGUGACGGUAAUGGGUAAAGAAGCACCGGCUAACUACGUG